CAGUCAUAACAAUACGCUGACAAGUAUAAAGUAUCAGUAAUAUUUUACCGUUUUCAAAUAUUUGGAAAUCUUAAGAGAUAUGGCAGUGCGGAUGGAAGUUUAUAGGCUUUUAAGAACAGACGAGAAUCCAGCGAAUGGCCUCUCUGCCAAAGCUCCCAAAAUUCCAAGUUCAAUAGUGCGUCAUGUUGCAUAUGGAUCCAACGGCCAAUCCCGCUUUAUAUCGGCCUGUGGUUCUCUAGAAUAUGCUAUUAACUUUAGAGCAAACAAUCAACAAGAUAAUGGACUGAUUGUUAAGAUCAGUAUUACUGAGGGAAUGACAUUUUAUGACCUACGUACUUUUGGACAAAGACAACAGAUUUUGCUGUCAGAAAACGUGAUUCAUCCACAAGAAACCAUAGACAGGUUCCAUAAUUUCGCUGGAGCGUUUCAAGAAAUUCUAAUAGAAGACCGUGUUCCUUCCGAGAACAUCGUGGUCUUGUAUGUUUAGAUAUGAUAUAGCAUUGAGCGCCUGAAAGACUAUUUAAAGCUAGUGUUUCAUGAGAAGAUAGAGAUUUUUGAUAUUUUUUUAAGAUUGAAUUAUUUCCGUUUGUACAGUUAAUGAAAUAAAGUUUAGAAAUUA